rnacentral:lncRNA from 1 species
UCUGCCAAAGAGUUCUUGAGUCGCCGUCAGAGCGUGGUUUUGUGCCUCAGGGUCUGAUUUCGACCCAGGUUCAUAACCGAUCCUCUUUGGGUAUCAACUUUCGUCUUCUUGAGGUAAUUUUUACUAAUUUGCACUCCUAACUCUUCCCUACAUAUGCCUAUAUCCUUUAUUUUUUUAAUCUACCUUGUUUUUUCUUAUUUAUGGCCUUACAAAGUAAAUAGAAGUAUAAUUUGCAAAAAGGCAGUAUUGGCAGCUUUAAUUUUUCUACCCUUUGACUAAUAUCUAUUUUUCCAAGAUAAUUUGCUACAAUAUUUUUGAAGUGAGAUCCUCAAAACAUGAUAUUUUUUUCACCCUUUCACUUAUUAUCCAUGU